ACAAGAAAUACCUUUUCGAAAUAAACUUCAAUCCACGACGAUCCAUCGUUCAACGCAAAAUUGAAUUGAAAUAACUUAAAAGUUUGCAUGCAGCAUAGUCAGUCAGUUCUGUUCGGCUUUUCCUUUCCUUUUCAACUUAUAAAUACUUCACUUUACACACACACGCACACAAACAGUGAGCAACAAAUUGAACAGAGCAAGAGAUACCAAGGUGGACAGAGAGAAACAACAAAAGUGUGUAACUCAAAUGUACGAACAAAAAUGCUGAAAUUAGCACUAUGUAUUAACGCAGCUAAAUUUUUUCGUGCGUAUUUUCUUGUUUGUCAAGCACCUGUAUGCGGGAGCUUAGGGACCCUUGUUGCUGCUAUACAAACAGGCCACAGUUAUGUAUGUAUGCGUACGGAAAGAAACGCCAAUGCAAGGUAGUCUCCAAAAAAAAGUGGCUUCCACAAAAUUUCGUCAGAGUUCAAACACUUUAAACAAUUUUUUGUAUACACUACACGCUACACAAUAAAUACUUUGCGCUGGUGGCGCUUAUACGAAUAUA